AGCAGCCGCGGUAAUUCCAGCUCCAAUAGCGUAUAUUAAAGUUGUUGCAGUUAAAAAGCUCGUAGUUGAAUUUCGGGAUCAAUUUGCUGGUCGUGCCUCUGGUACGUACUGGUAUUAUUGGUUUCUCCCUUCUGACGAACCAUGAUGUCAUUAAUUUGAUGUCGUGGAGAAUCAGGACUGUUACUUUGAAAAAAUUAGAGUGUUUAAAGCAGGCAUUAGCUUGAAUACAUUAGCAUGGAAUAAUGAAAUAGGACGUUUGAUCCUAUUUUGUUGGUUUCUAGGAUUGACGUAAUGAUUAAUAGGGAUAGUUGGGGGCAUUAGUAUUCAAUUGUCAGAGGUGAAAUUCUUGGAUUUUAUUGAAGACUAACUACUGCGAAAGCAUUUGCCAAGGAUGUUUUCAUUAAUCAAGAACGAAAGUUAGGGGAUCGAAGACGAUCAGAUACCGUCGUAGUCUUAACCAUAAACUAUGCCGACUAGGGAUCGGAUGAUGUUUAAUUUUUAAUGA
rnacentral:rRNA from 1 species